rnacentral:rRNA from 1 species
AGGGGACUCCGAGUGCGAGGGCAUACAGUCCUCGCUUUUUCUGUACCGUAGGGUGGUACAGGAACAAGUGCUGGGCAAGACCGGUGCCAGCCGCCGCGGUAAUACCGGCAGCACGAGUGAUGGCCGAUAUUAUUGGGCUAAAGCGUCCGUAGCCGGCCCAGACAAGUCCGUUGGGAAAUCGACGUGCCUAACACGUCGGCGUCCAGCGGAAACUGUCUGGCUUGGGGCCGGAAGACUCGAGGGGUACGUCCGGGGUAGGAGUGAAAUCCCGUAAUCCUGGACGGACCGCCGGUGGCGGAAGCGCCUCGAGAGGACGGACCCGACGGUCAGGGACGAAAGCUAGGGUCUCGAACCGGAUUAGAUACCCGGGUAGUCCUAGCUGUAAACGAUGCUCGCUAGGUGUGGCGCAGGCUACGAGCCUGCGCUGUGCCGUAGGGAAGCCGUGAAGCGAGCCGCCUGGGAAGUACGUCUGCAAGGAUGAAACUUAAAGGAAUUGGCGGGGGAGCACUACAACCGGAGGAGCCUGCGGUUUAAUUGGACUCAACGCCGGACAUCUCACCAGCCCCGACAGUGGCAAUGAAGCUCAGUGUGAUGAGCUUAGCAGAGCCACUGAGAGGAGGUGCAUGGCCGCCGUCAGCUCGUACCGUGAGGCGUCCUGUUAAGUCAGGCAACGAGCGAGACCCGCACUCCUAAUUGCCAGCAGUACCGUGAGGUAGCUGGGUACAUUAGGAGGACCGCCGUGGCUAACACGGAGGAAGGAACGGGCAACGGUAGGUCAGUAUGCCCCGAAUGGGCUGGGCUACACGCGGGCUACAAUGGCCAGGACAAUGGGUUCCAACCCCGAAAGGGGACGGUAAUCUCACAAACCUGGUCGUAGUUCGGAUUGAGGGCUGAAACCCGCCCUCAUGAAGCUGGAUUCGGUAGUAAUCGCGUGUCAGAAGCGCGCGGUGAAUACGUCCCUGCUCCUUGCACACACCGCCCGUCAAAGCACCCGAGUGAGGUCCGGAUGAGGCUCGUGAAGCGAGCCG